rnacentral:rRNA from 1 species
CUACGUGCCAGCAGCCGUGGUAAUACGUAGGUGGCAAGCGUUGUCCGGAAUUAUUGGGCGUAAAGCGCGCGCAGGCGGAUCUGCCAGUCUGUCUUAAAAGUUCGGGGCUCAACCCCGUGAUGGGAUGGAAACUACAGAUCUAGAGUAUCGGAGGGGAAAGUGGAAUUCCUAGUGUAGCGGUGAAAUGCGUAGAUAUUAGGAGGAACACCAGUGGCGAAGGCGACUUUCUGGACGAUCACUGACGCUGAGGCGCGAAAGCCAGGGGAGCGAACGGGAUUAGAUACCCCGGUAGUCCUGGCCGUAAACGAUGGGUACUAGGUGUAGGAGGUAUCGACCCCUUCUGUGCCGGAGUUAACGCAAUAAGUACCCCGCCUGGGGAGUACGACCGCAAGGUUGAAACUCAAAGGAAUUGACGGGGGCCCGCACAAGCGGUGGAGUAUGUGGUUUAAUUCGACGCAACGCGAAGAACCUUACCAGGUCUUGACAU